AAACAAUGCACAUCACUACCGGGUCUUGGGCAGUGCGAUAGCGAUGGGAUUCACCUUCGCAGGAUGUGCAUGGAAGUAUAAACACAACGGUCGUU
rnacentral:SRP_RNA from 2 species